rnacentral:rRNA from 1 species
CUAGCAAUCCCAUAAACCGUGGCUCAGUUCAGACCGUAGGCUGCAACUCGCCUACGUGAAGUAGGAAUCGCUAGUAAUCGCAGGUCAGCAUACUGCGGUGAAUACGUUCCCGGGCCUUGUACACACCGCCCGUCACACCAUGGAAGUUGGCCAUGCCCGAAGUCGUUACUCCAACCCUUGUGGAGGAGGACGCCAAAGGUGGGGCUAAUGACUGGGGUGAAGUCGUAACAAGGUAGCCGUACCGGAAGGUGCGGCUGGAUCACCUCCUAA